ACAAGUAAAAAAAGAAAAGAAAAGUGAAAUUGAAAAUACUCAACAAUCCACUGUUCCAAUGCUGCAGAGUACUAUCUCAUGCCCAUCAUCAUCCUCUCACUGGUCACUACUGCUGCCGGUGCGGUGCGGGGCAGUGCAGACAGAAGAAAGAAAUUAAAUUCAAAGAGGCUGAUGAUAGACAAAAACAAUCAGCUACACUAGUAGUAGUUUCCAUUUCCUUAAUCCAAAGCCAAUCGUUUCGGAAAAGCAGAAACCUCAGCAAGUCAGCAUCGACGCCAUUCAAACAAUACAAACCUUAAAAAAAAAAAAGCGAGCUUACACACAAAAACGACAAGUCGCUGCUUGAUCAACCUUUCCGUUCUAAAUCCAACCGAUUGUUGAGUUCGUUUUGACUGCCGUUCCUCGCCAACUCCUCCGCCAGAACCACUGCCUUUUGGCUCUCAAGGUCAAAUAUCAUUCAUUAUUUAUUUUUGAAACCCAAUCACAGAGGAGUACUGGUACAAACCACAAGUGGUGUUUUAUGAUGAGAUGAUUAAAGUAAUGUCUAGCAAUGGAUUUAUUGACGAGGUCCGGCUUCUUUUUUUUAGGUAUUUGGAGACUGAAAUUAGUGGUGAUUUACAGUGAAUUUAAUCAACUGUUAAUGACUCUGAUUAGUUUUAAGCUGAGUGGACUUGUUAUGGAGUGCUAUGAAGUGCCUAUUUGUAUUCGAAGAAAUGUAAAAAAGUAGUUUUUUUUUUUGUUAUUUUUUUAAUAUUAACAUCAAUUCAAAAAUUAAAACUAGAAAAAAAAUCCAAUAUACAAAGUCUGUUGUAAUAGGAUGUGAACCUAACAGGUCUACAUUUAAAUUACUCGUUAGUGGUUUAGAAUACAUUGGCGAAUCUGUUACUGUCAGGCAGGAUGCUUACAAGUAUUACGGUGACUCCCUCAAUUACGACGGGGGAAGAGAUAGCUAGUUGAGUUACUUAAAGUAAGAGAUAGAUCAAAAUCCCAGCUUUUGAAUUGGUUAGUUCACCAUCACUUGGCAGUAAGAGUACCUUGUGAAGAACAACCUGGAAUGUGUGUUCAACUUCAUGUUGCUGACAGAGAAAUCAUACAUGGCCUUUUGGUUCUGCAAUGCCAACAUGUUGUAUCAGAUAUGUAGUAGAAACUCGCUUCUUUUACUCUCCUUUCAUUGGAAUAUGAAAGUUGAGAAUCGAAGUAAAUCAUCUCAAAGUACAGCCUAGUUCAUGAAGCAAGGAUUGCCUGGUUAAAAACUCACGUAAAUGCUGCCUCUGACAUCUCGAAGUGUUCUUUCGGGAAAUUACACCAGCCACCAUAAUCCGCCGAAAGCCCGUAAUUUGGAGGACAGAAAUCUGUUGCAGUGAGAAUGACCGAGGGGCUACCCUGCAGGCACCAUAAGAUGUGGUCGACACAUCUGACCUCGAAGCAAGCCCCACAGGUACUCCCUCUGUUGAACAGCAUGCUACUUAGUCCAGCACUGUACUUUCCAUAGGUGGCCUUGUGAAGGUCCGCAUACCCACAAGCACCUUCUGCAACAUUAAACAAUGACAGUUUAAUCUUUACAAUCCAAACUGGAACUUUUUUUUGUGGAAUAUGAAACACCAUUAAGAGUUGAAGAAACAGAAUGUUUCACCCUUACUAGGACCAGUUGGUAGAAAAUUACCUACAACGAUUGAUCCAUUUGUUUCCUUAACGUAUGUUGCAGUGGCAGACUUCCAUUCCUCAUCAUCAGCGGUGAUCUUCCAUGUCUGGUGCAUAAUCAAGUAGAGAAGCAUGGCUUUUAGAGCACCCAUUUGAUAAGCAACGACUAUGAGAAUUCUGAUUUGUACUUGAUGAGAUUCUUUUCUUCUUGUUUUUUCCCUUUCUUCUCUUCUCUGUGAAAUUAUGGUCUUGAGUGAAGAGAAAGACCACCCUUUUCUUCGGGAAAUGACCCGAAUCUCCUUGCUGAAAUGAAGCUAGCUUUGUUGGUUAGAUGGCCACCCCUUAUACGAAACUGUGAAAUUUUGACAAAUAGGCUCUUUGGGAGAACGUAGUCCAAAAUGUAGGGACGUGCAGCAAGCCCGAGAGGAAGGGUAGCUUUGGUCUAUCAUGGACAAAAGCAAUGCCUUCUUUUCUUUGAUUUUUUCAAGCUGGGAAUGUAAACUCAAAAAAGGGUUUAGGGAUUGUGUAUGGAGGUUGCAUGGUUUGUUGUUGUGGCAGACACGGAGAGCGGAAAGUCUUUGGCCCUGUUUCUACUUGCGUGCACUCAUUUGUUGUUAUUUACAUAAUUUGGCUCGUCUUUUGAGAAGAAACGAAUGGGGAACCCCAUGGCCAUAUGGAAGAGAAAGUGUGAUUGACUAAUUGGAAGCUUUGAUGAGUAUAUUUGGAGUUGAUUGGCUUCUAUGAGAUGAAGCAAGAUGUAUGGUGAAAUUAUGACCACGCAGUUGCCUCUGCUGUGCCUGCAGCCUGCUCAUAAAGAAACUGUGUGCCCGAACGGUUUGCUUGGGCAUUCGCGCGAGGGUGCUUUACUGUAGGAAUUCUUGUAAAUAAUGAAAAUAAUAAAUAUUAUUUUAAAAGAUUUUUUUAUUUA